rnacentral:lncRNA from 1 species
UGGAAACUCCCACGUUCAAGCAUCAUUUCCUUCUUAGAGACAUCAAAGAUCUGACUGAGUUGGCAGUAAAAGUAAAAGAAAAAAAAAGAAAGAAGAUGAAGUAAAGGCUCAUUCAGAUUAGCUGAUGGUAAGACUGACAGGGAGAGAGGUCUAGUGUGAAGUCAGUAUAACAACAAAAUAAAAAAAACAAAGCAGGAAACAGGCGGAAGAGAAAGCCUAUGUCGGUUUAGCUCGACAACCAUGAGCAGCAACUUUCUUUGCGCUCUUCUCAUCCUUGCCUUCCUGGAAUCAGGCAAAUCAAACAGUGGUGUAUCUAUUAAUCACAGUCGAGAUGGAGAUGGCCAGACCAUUACCUGUGUCCUCUCAGGGGACGAAAACAUGACACAAAUCAACUGGGAGAUGCUAAGAGGCCCGAAUCGCACGAAACUGGGCACGUAUCACCCACAUUUUGGAAUUUACAUAAUGCAAGAAUAUGAGACUAAAGUAAAGAUCAAGAACAAAAAAUCUCCUCAUCCAUCAUCAUCCCUUCUCAUUAAAGUAGCAUCAAAUGAGAGCGUGCUAAUCUGUUGUGCGUUCAUAACAUUUCCUUCGGGGAAACUUGAGCAGUGCACUGAUAUCAGUAAGAAAGAUGUCAGAAUGAACACGUCUAUGAUCAAAGAUUUUACAUAUGUGGAACCAGAACCAAGGCUGGGAUUAUUUGGACAUUUGGGUGCAAUGAUCAUUGGAACUAUUCUCUCCCUUUUUAUCCUCACCAUCCUUUUCUAUUUAUGCAGAAAAAACAGCUGUAGAAGGAGGAAGUCCUUUAAAAUACGAACAUACUUGCCAGACUCACCGGCUGAGACAUUUGCUGAAGAAUCAGUUGAUGCACCAGCUUCUCAAAGUUCUGCGAAUGGCUUUGACCCCUCAAAACUUUAUGCCAAGAUCAAAAAAGACCUUUUCUAUGGCCGGCUGUGGAAGUCUUACCAAGGCCAACCCAAACCAUGGACACAAGGUACCAUGACUGAUCAAGGACACGUUUAUCACCUGUUAGGACAGAGUCCCUUACCGCAAAGAAAUGUGGAGGGCAGCCCCUUGAGGCCAGAAACAACAGAAACUACAGAACAACAUUUCAGUAGUUUUUAGUUUCCAGUGUGAUUGAGAGGAACCUUGUCAUAUUUGUGUAAUGUAAAAUAGCUUAAAGCAGAUUGCAAUGCAUUAUAUAAAGAAAAGAAUGAAUUCAUAUUUUGAAUUAAUAUUAAAACAAAUUAUUUUUUUGUUUUCAGUUUAAAAUAAAUACAUGUUUCUAACACUGAAUAAACGUUUAUGUGAGAAUCAAACAGACAUGCAAGUCUGAAGUCUUUUGUCAUGAGUCAAGUCUUUCAAGGCCAAAU